rnacentral:rRNA from 1 species
GAUGAACGCUAGCGGCAGGCUUAACACAUGCAAGUCGAGGGGCAGCGCGGGGUAGCAAUACUCUGGCGGCGACCGGCGAAAGGGUGAGUAACGCGUGAGCAACGUGCCCGUAUGUGGGGGAUAGUCAUUAGAAAUGAUGCGUAAUACCCCGUAACACAAGGAAUCGCAUGGUUCUUUGUUGAAAGAUUUAUUGCAUACGGAUCGGCUCGCGUGCCAUUAGGUAGACGGCGGGGUAACGGCCCACCGUGCCGACGAUGGCUAGGGGUUCUGAGAGGAAGGUCCCCCACAUUGGAACUGAGACACGGUCCAGACUCCUACGGGAGGCAGCAGUGAGGAAUAUUGGACAAUGGCCGGAAGGCUGAUCCAGCCAUGCCGCGUGCGGGAAGGCGGCCCUAUGGGUUGUAAACCGCUUUUGCGGGGGAGCAAUAAGAGUCACGUGUGGCUCGAUGAGAGUACCCUGCGAAUAAGCAUCGGCUAACUCCGUGCCAGCAGCCGCGGUAAUACGGAGGAUGCAAGCGUUAUCCGGAUUUAUUGGGUUUAAAGGGUGCGCAGGCGGCUUGUUAAGCGGGAGGUGAAAUGCCGGCGCUCAACGUCGGAAGUGCCUCCCGAACUGGUGGACUGGAAUGACUCUGCCGUGGGAGGAAUGUGUAGUGUAGCGGUGAAAUGCUUAGAGAUUACACAGAACACCGAUUGCGAAGGCAUCUCACGAAGGGUUGAUUGACGCUGAGGCACGAAAGCGUGGGGAUCAAACA